UCAAACAGAUCCUCACGGCUACAUAUGUACCUGGUGUUAAUGACGCCUUCCAUGUGUCGGUCCCUCUGCCCAACGUCCUCAACACCAACCUCAGGAACGCUGAAGUCACCAUCACUGACGCGGACGAGCUUCCCGGCCAGACCACUCUUGAA